UUAUGAUGACCCAAUUGACCCCACUGCUUCAAGAUGUCCAUGAGUCACUCUGAUUAGCAGGUUUACAUCUGACGCUACCAAGAAACAACAACAACAACAACAACAACAGGGGAAAAGACCUGCUAGGGCCACCGUAUAUAUCUGGCGUGGAGUAAACAUCCAGCGUUCGCUGACAGCAGCAACGCAACGCGUCGGCGACAUUGAACGCGUAACACACCGCUCAUGAGCGUGGGAGGUCUGAGACUAACUGUUUCUGUCGUUAUUCGAAGCCACCGGAGUUCACGGGUCGCCGCUGCAGGACAAACAAAGUGAAGAAGGAAACGCUGCAGAGUUUGAAUACAUUCAAACUUUAUUGGAAUUCACAGUGCGACGAUGGAGGAGGCAACCGGCUGUUCUCAAAUAAGGGCAGGAGUCAAGUGGGUGAAUAAGUACAGACAUCAAUAACCGGAGGACAAGUGCAUGAAAUUACACGCAGCAGAUCCAUCACGCAACAGCAACAACAAGGAGGAGGAGAACAGGUGACCGCGCCGGGGCAAAGAGGAGACGAGAGGAGGUAAUGAGAGCAGAGGAGAGGAGAUGACACGAGAUGACACGGACAGAGAGCAGGAGGCCCAAGAGGGACGACUGUUUCCUGAUGGAAAAAAUUUAAAAAAAUAAACCGACCAGUCCUCCAAACCAUACAUUUUAUUAAAGUAUUAAACUGUUGCACCAUCCAGUUUGACAUAACUCUGAUCUUGUAUGUUGUCCACAAAAACUAUGACUGUAAAUACCCAUUUACAAACUUUGUCAGUUCGAAGGAUAUAUGUACCAAUUGUUGUGCAUUCAUUUUCGUACAAUAUAGGAACCAAUGUGUUGGAAAAAAACUCUACAUUCUCAAAGACUCAUUACGGUUUGGCUUUAAAAAAAAAAAAAAAAAAAAAAAUGGCAUGAGUCAUGGUCUGAGCAGACCAAGAUGUCAUGUCUGUUCUUGUACACUGCUUUCACUUAUCAGUUCAGACACACGAGAGAAGUCAACGUCAAAGGUUGUUUGUUUUGCUGUCUCGGGACAAGUUGUCCUUUUCACUUGCUAAAUAGUUAUUUCUUACCUACACGAAGGCAAUGCCCGUAACUAUAAAUUGUUGUACUUAAAUAUGUGUUUGAAACAGAAGUAUGGGAAAUGUAUAAGCUAUAUUUAAGCUAAGGAAUCCUUUUGUUCUUCGUAAUGGCGAUAAUUGCUACAUGUGUGUGGCUAGCAAAUGUGUAUAGCUUAUAAGAUGAGA